AAGAGACAGCAGUAGCCGCGGGAAUACGGAGGGUGCAAGCGUUAAUCGGAAUUACUGGGCGUAAAGCGCACGCAGGCGGUCUGACAAGUCAGAUGUGAAAUCCCCGGGCUUAACCUGGGAACUGCAUUUGAAACUGUCAGGCUGGAGUCUUGUAGAGGGGGGUGGAAUUUUAGGUGUAGCGGUGAAAUGUGUAGAGAUCUGGAGGAAUACCGGUGGCGAAGGCGGCCCCCUGGACAAAGACUGACGCUCAGGUGCGAAAGCGUGGGGAGCAAACAGGAUUAGAUACCCGGGUAGUCCCUGUCUCUUAUAC
rnacentral:rRNA from 1 species